CCCCUCUCAGGAUGGCACCUGGAGAGUUUUCAGUACUCUACCAGUCUCGGCUACGGGUGGGAGAGUCAAGCGGAGGCCUGUCCGUUCCAUUCCUAGCGUGGCCAGUGGCUAGCGAGUGGAAGGCUAAUCUGCUACAUGU